rnacentral:rRNA from 1 species
CCUACGGGAGGCAGCAGUGAGGAAUAUUGGUCAAUGGGCGCGAGCCUGAACCAGCCAAGUCGCGUGAAGGAUGACUGCCCUCCGGGUUGUAAACUUCUUUUAUAAAGGAAUAAAGUGAGGCACGUGUGCCUUUUUGUAUGUACUUUAUGAAUAAGGAUCGGCUAACUCCGUGCCAGCAGCCGCGGUAAUACGGAGGAUCCGAGCGUUAUCCGGAUUUAUUGGGUUUAACGGGAGCGUAGAUGGGUUGUUAAGUCAGUUGUGAAAGUUUGCGGCUCAACCGUAAAAUUGCAACUGAUACUGGCAGCCUUGAGUACAGUUGAGGUAGGAGGAAUUCGUGGUGUAGCGGUGAAAUGCUUAGAUAUCACGAAGAAAUCCGAUUGAGAAGGCAGCUUACUAAACUGCCACUGACAUUGAUGCGCGAAAGUGUGGGUAUCAAACAGGAUUAGAUACCCGUGUAGUC